rnacentral:lncRNA from 1 species
GGGCAGGGAGCGGCGGCGCAGGAGGGGUGGGGUCGUCGUCCAGGUCGCCGCAGAUGUCAAAGGGCGGAGGGGACGCCAUGGGAUGGAUUCCUUCCUCCUCCGAUGACGAUGAUGAGAGGAAUGGAUUGGAGAGAUUGCUUCUCGAACUCCCCCGCUUUCUCCGUCUCCGUUCGCUCCUCCUAGUACCAGCCUGCCAGUAGUAGGAGAAAAAGGGAUUGUCUGGGGAAGAAAGAAGAGCAG